AGUGAACGCUGGCGGCGUGCUUAACACAUGCAAGUCGAACGAGAACGGAAUUAAAGCUUGCUUUAAUUGUCAGCUAAGUGGCGCACGGGUGAGUAAUAUAUAGGUAACGUGCCCUAGAGAGGGGGAUAACAUUUGGAAACGAAUGCUAACACCCCAUAUGCCUCUAUCCCAUAAGGGAGCAAGGGAAAUAUUUAUAGCUCUAGGAUCGGCCUGUACGGUAUCAGUUUGUUGGUGAGGUAAUGGCUCACCAAGACUAUGACGCCUAACUGGUUUGAGAGGAUGAUCAGUCACACUGGAACUGAGACACGGUCCAG
rnacentral:rRNA from 1 species